GUUUCUAAAGGUGAGCCACUUGCCCUCACUGAGAACAAAGUUCCGUAAUGAGAAUUCUAAUUAACAAUUGUAGUCAAAAC
ensembl:snoRNA